UACCAGCACCCCGAGUGGUCGGGACGAUUAUUGGGCCUAAAGCAUCCGUAGCCGGUCCUACAAGUCUUCCGUUAAAUCCACCUGCUUAACAGAUGGGCUGCGGAAGAUACUAUAGGGCUAGGAGGCGGGAGAGGCAAGCGGUACUCAGUGGGUAGGGGUAAAAUCCUCUGAUCCAUUGAAGACCACCCGUGGCGAAGGCGGCUUGCCAGAACGCGCUCGACGGUGAGGGAUGAAAGCUGGGGGAGCAAACCGG
rnacentral:rRNA from 1 species